UGGGAGUCAGUAUGUGUCCAAUCAGGGCUUCUUAGAGGAUGAACUAAAGGUCUGGUGGUCCAGAACUUUGAGGAAUGGUGGGAAGAUUCCAUCAACGGAGGAUUUGGAAACGAAAUUGAGACAGAGAAUCAAAUUAGGCUUCUAAAUUCUACACUUAAGACCAAUAGCAUAGCAUCACCAAGCUACAGUGGGUUUCUUGCGCAAGUUUUCUGAUUUGGUUAAUUAAGGCAAGUUUUUCGGUAUUCAUUGUUGGUUUUGGCAUCUGUUUUAACUUGAGCUGAGAAAGUACGAAUUCAGAAUAAAAGCACCCUUGGGGUAAGCUGAGAAUAGCAGAACAAGCAUGUAGUUAUUGUACAUAGAAAACUAGUUUGGAUCCUGUUUGAAAACUAGAAUCAGUAGUGGGAAAUUUUAACCAAUUGCUUGGCUUCCAAGGUCGCCUGGUCUUAAAAAUGGUUUUCAGACUGACAAAAUACUGGUUCACAUUAAUGCCUCAUUUCUUGUGUAAUUAUGUGAAAGGUUGGACUAACACACAUCCAGAUCAAAAUAUUUGAUAUUAGAACAAAGCCACAAGAAUGUUGUUCUGGUCUGGGCAUAGGGUAUAUCAUUUAACUACUAAGGCCUAGGAAAAUAUUCACUAUCAAUUGCCUGAGCAAAAGAAUCUCUAUCUGGAACUAUGUGUGUGGAUGACAACUGGAAAUUAACAGCAUCCAUAUCUCCACCUUUGUAGAUGUGUUGGUCCAUUGCUUUUAAUUAGAAUGAAACAACUUGACUUCAAAUGAUGUUACAGGA